rnacentral:lncRNA from 1 species
UGAGGUCUACCAAGUCAUUUUGUCUAGCGGCUUAUAUUUUCUACCCUUUUAAGUAAUUCUAGAAGUUUGGAGCUUACAGCCCACAUCAGCAGAUUUGCCCUUUUGCGUUUGGCAAGAAUCAAGGUUUGCCAUGUGUUUCCAAGUAGAGGUGGGAGUAUGGUGUUAUAGAGACUCGUGUCAGCAUGACUCUGGAAACAGCGAUUGUUAGAUAACCAGUGAACUGAAGCCAGAGAAGAGAAUUGAGAACAUUAUUUUGGGAGCUGUUUAUAUCUGUAGAGAUCUCCAGCAAUGUAUGCAUUUCUUCUUUGAGUGUUCAUCUUUAAGAUAAAAUGAUACCCCUUUAAGAAACAUCAUGUAACAGCAUUCAUUCUUUGAAGUUUCAAGUAGUUUGGUCUGGAAUUAUACCCUAAAGCUGAUUUGACUUAUGCAUUAUCUUUUUCGUAACUCCUUAAAACUGCAGCUAUGUGUAAUUGCUUGCUUUAAAAGGAGGUGGGAAUUGGGUGAUUGUACUCUUUCUUUCUCCUCAAAUCCCAGCUGAAAAUAAAAGUUGUUGGACCUAGAGUAGCCAGUGCUGGGGAUCAGUGUCU